rnacentral:rRNA from 1 species
AGCUCCAGAAGCGUAUAUUUAAAUUGUUGCUGUUAAAAAGCUCGUAGUUGGAUUUCUGGUGUGGUGCGGCUGGUCCGUCGCCGUUAGGCGGUCGAGUACUGGCGUUGCGCCUACCAUCCCUUCUGGAAAGGCCCGCUGCACUUCAUUGUGUGGUGGGAGUCACCGAUCCAGAUCGUUUACUUUGAAAAAAUUAGAGUGUUUAAAGCAGGCGUCAGCCACUGAAUACAUUAGCAUGGAAUAAUAAGAUAGGACUUUGGCCCUAUUUUGUUGGUUUCUAGGACUGAAGUAAUGAUUGAUAGGGACAGUUGGGGGUGCUAGUAUUUAACGGCCAGAGGUGAAAUUCUUGGAUUCGUUAAAGACUAACUAAUGCGAAAGCAUUCACCAAGGAUGUCUUCU